AGAAUUGACGGGACCCGCACAAGCAGCGGAGCGUGUGGUUUAAUUCGUUGCUACACGAAGAACCUUACCUGGGUUUGACAUAGCAGUGGUAGGGAAGCGAAAGCGGACCGACCCUUCGGGGAGCUGUUACAGGCGUUGCAUGGCUGUCGUCAGCUCGUGUCGUGAGAUGUUCGGUUAAGUCCGCUAACGAGCGCAACCCUCGUGAUGUGUUACAAGUGUCACAUCAUACUGCCGGUAUUAAGUCGGAGGAAGGUGGGGAUGACGUCAAGUCAGCAUGACCUUUAUAUCCAGGGCUACACACACGCUACAAUGGUCUGUACAAUAGGUUGCCAAGCCGCGAGGCGGAGCCAAUCCUAAAAAGCAGGCCUCAGUUCAGAUUGCAGUCUGCAACUCGCCUGCAUGAAGAUGGAGUUGCUAGUAACCGCAGGUCAGCAAUACUGCGGUGAAUACGUUCCCGGGUCUU
rnacentral:rRNA from 1 species